CCGCGGCCCGGGAGGCGGAGGGGAGGAGGGCUGCGGGGCUGGGGCGGUAGCUGCGUCCCGGCCGGGAGCCCGCGAAGAGGACGAGGAGGAAGGCGCCGCCGUGGCCGCGGCCGCAGUGCUCCGGGCGCCACACGCCAUGAGCAGCGGCCCCGCCGCCGACCCCGCCGUCGCCGACCGCCGCUGAGCCGGCCCGGGAGACCGCUCGCCGCUCCCCAGCACCCUCCCCGGCGGCACCCUCGCGCCCGGAGCAACAUGAUUCCGGUGACAGAAUUCCGGCAGUUCUCUGAGCAGCAGCCUGCCUUCCGUGUGCUGAAACCGUGGUGGGAUGUGUUCACCGACUACCUUUCGGUGGCUAUGCUGAUGAUCGGUGUGUUCGGGUGUACUCUCCAGGUCAUGCAAGACAAGAUCAUCUGCCUUCCAAAAAGGGUCCAGCCUUCUCAGAAUCAUUCUUCCGUGUCCAAUGUCUCUCAAGCAGUUGCCAGCACCACCCCGCUGCCUCCCCCUAAACCGUCUCCUACCAACCCUGCCACCGUGGAAAUGAAAGGGCUAAAGACAGAUUUGGACCUCCAGCAGUACAGUUUUAUAAACCAGAUGUGUUACGAGCGAGCCCUCCACUGGUAUGCCAAGUAUUUCCCUUACCUGGUCCUCAUCCAUACCCUGGUCUUCAUGCUCUGCAGCAACUUUUGGUUCAAGUUCCCCGGUUCCAGCUCCAAAAUAGAACACUUCAUCUCGAUCCUGGGGAAGUGUUUUGACUCUCCUUGGACCACACGGGCUUUAUCGGAAGUGUCUGGGGAGGAUUCAGAGGAAAAGGACAACAGGAAGAACAACAUGAGUAGGUCCAACACCAUCCAGUCCGGUCCAGAAGGCAGCCUGGUCAACUCUCAGUCAUUAAAGUCCAUUCCUGAGAAGUUCGUGGUUGACAAAUCCACUGCAGGAGCUUUGGAUAAGAAGGAAGGUGAGCAAGCAAAGGCCUUAUUUGAGAAGGUGAAGAAGUUCAGGCUGCACGUCGAAGAAGGUGAUAUACUCUAUGCUAUGUACGUCCGCCAGACUGUGCUUAAAGUUAUAAAAUUCCUAAUCAUCAUUGGGUAUAAUAGCGCCCUGGUUUCCAAAGUUCAGUUUACCGUGGACUGUAACGUUGACAUUCAGGACAUGACUGGAUAUAAAAACUUUUCUUGUAAUCACACCAUGGCACACUUGUUCUCAAAACUGUCCUUUUGCUACCUGUGUUUUGUAAGCAUCUACGGGUUGACGUGCCUUUACACCUUAUACUGGCUGUUCUACCGUUCUCUACGGGAAUAUUCUUUUGAGUAUGUCAGGCAGGAGACUGGAAUUGACGAUAUUCCAGAUGUGAAAAAUGACUUUGCCUUUAUGCUUCAUAUGAUAGAUCAGUAUGACCCACUGUAUUCCAAGAGAUUUGCGGUGUUCCUAUCUGAAGUGAGUGAGAACAAAUUAAAGCAGCUGAACUUAAAUAACGAGUGGACUCCCGAUAAACUGAGGCAGAAGCUACAGACAAAUGCCCAUAACCGGUUGGAAUUGCCUCUUAUUAUGCUCUCUGGCCUUCCAGACACAGUCUUUGAGAUCACAGAGUUGCAGUCUCUAAAACUUGAAAUCAUCAAGAACGUGAUGAUCCCAGCCACCAUCGCGCAGCUAGACAAUCUCCAAGAGCUCUCGCUACACCAGUGCUCAGUCAAAAUCCAUAGUCCGGCACUCUCUUUCCUGAAGGAAAACCUCAAGGUCUUGAGCGUCAAGUUUGAUGACAUGAGGGAGCUACCCCCCUGGAUGUAUGGGCUCCGGAAUCUGGAAGAGCUCUACCUGGUCGGCUCUCUAAGUCAUGAUAUUUCCAAAAAUGUCACCCUUGAGUCUCUGCGGGAUCUCAAAAGCCUUAAAAUUCUCUCCAUCAAAAGCAACGUUUCCAAAAUCCCUCAGGCAGUGGUGGACGUUUCCAGCCAUCUCCAGAAGAUGUGCAUCCAUAACGACGGCACCAAGCUGGUGAUGCUCAACAACUUAAAGAAGAUGACCAAUCUGACAGAGCUGGAGCUGGUCCACUGCGACCUGGAGCGCAUUCCCCAUGCCGUGUUUAGUCUGCUCAGCCUCCAGGAAUUGGACCUCAAAGAGAAUAAUCUGAAAUCUAUAGAGGAAAUCGUUAGCUUCCAGCACUUGAGAAAGUUGACAGUGCUGAAACUGUGGCAUAACAGCAUCACCUACAUCCCAGAGCAUAUCAAGAAACUCACCAGCCUGGAGCGCCUGGCCUUCAGUCACAACAAAAUAGAGGUGCUGCCUUCCCACCUCUUCCUAUGCAACAAAAUCCGAUACUUGGACCUGUCCUACAAUGACAUUCGGUUCAUCCCACCCGAAAUCGGAGUUCUACAGAGUUUACAGUAUUUUUCCAUCACUUGUAACAAAGUGGAGAGCCUUCCAGACGAACUCUACUUCUGCAAGAAACUUAAAACUCUGAAGAUUGGGAAAAACAGCCUCUCCGUACUUUCACCGAAAAUUGGAAAUUUAUUAUUUCUUUCCUACUUAGACGUUAAAGGCAAUCACUUUGAAAUCCUCCCUCCCGAACUGGGUGACUGUCGGGCCCUGAAGCGAGCCGGGUUGGUUGUGGAAGAUGCUCUGUUUGAAACUCUGCCUUCUGAUGUCCGGGAACAAAUGAAAGCAGAAUAACUUAUUUUCUUUAAAGCUUGACUGAAACGUGCUUCUACCAAAUACAGUAUAAAUAAUUAGGUAGUCUUAAUGCCUUUCCUAUUUUAUUUUUAUUUUUUUUUCUUUUUCACACAAAACAAAAUGUACACAAAGAUUGAGUAAGGAGUAUGUAUUUUUUAAUAAAAAUUUAAUUGUAUUUUUUCAAUAUUAAUAUUUUAAAGUUUUAUUUGUCCUGGAACCUAAAUGUAUCUAUUAUUGUUUUCUACUGACAGAAACAGAUGGUUCCGUCUGGGUUUUUUUGUUUUUGGUUUUUUGGUUUUUUUUCAUUUCAUUCUUGUGAAAGGGAGGGAAUUUUAAGUUGCAUGCUUUUUGGUAUUUUUUAAAUAGAUAUUUUGCCAAGGUCAUUUUUUGCUUGUUUACACCUGUCCAGGGUCCUUUUGUUUUCAUUGUGUAUGUACCAAGGAGUCCGUGCUAGUCAUUGUAAUACCAGCUGCCUUCUGCUUUGGCCAAGUCCUUCAUCCUAUAGAAAACUCUUCUCUGGAGUGUAAAUUCACGUAAGUGCAUUGCCACAGGCCAUUGUUUUCAAAAUUUCUCCUCAUCUCCAACAGAACCCUAACUUGUGUUAUUUCAUAUACCUGACUCACAGUCAACGUGAUCAUUAGGCUAGGAUUUUGUACUGAAUGGGUCAUUUAUCAUCUACCUGAUUUGCGUUCUUACCAACAUUUCAAAAAUAUCAUUUAAAAACAAAAUACAGAGGCUCUCCUCCCCCUGCCCUUCAUCUUAAUAUUGCUAUGUAAUACUGCUGAACAACCUUAGAGAAGCUAGAUUUAUUUUAAUUAAAAUAGGUAAUUAAAUUUAAAAAUCAGAAUCAGAAGCCUGGCUUUUAAGUAAUGUAAUAACCUUUGAUAUCUUGAUAUGGGUGUACAUCAGAUGGAAAAAAUAUUCCCGGCUGAAGCGGUCUGUGAAAGGGCUGGUGCACUGUAGUCAGGUGCACUGGUUGCUUCAGGUGGGGGGUGGGGAGGGGGCAUCUCCUCACAUUCAGCCUGGUACGCAGAAUAACCCUCAUCUCCAUAAGUGGAGCUCCCGUAAUCCUGCCCUUGCUGCGGAUGCAAGGGAGGCGAGCACAGGAACUCUUUCUGCUUUUUGGCUUAAAAUAAGCAUCUCAUCUAAAAUGGUUGUUACUUUUUUCUUUUUAAAGGGGUGAAUAAAUUGCUAAGUGGAUGUCACUUAGAAAUAAUUUGUACUUGAUGGUUAGCAGAGCUUUUAUUUACGUUUGUAUUUAAACCAACAUAGUAUAGCAUCUUGGGCAAAAUCUGUUACUGAUUCUUCAGCUGUGUAGGACAGGAAAAUGAAAACACUGUGCCCUCAAUCCAGGACCAGUACUGCUGAUCGUGGGAAUUUUGUUUUAUAUAGUAAAUUCACACUGACUGUCUUCAGAGCUCUAGUCUGAUCUAAGAGAGUUUUGUGACUCAACAAUGAAAGAAAAUAGGAAGAUGAUUUGGGGUUUCAAAAUAAUUGCUUUUAAAUUUUGCGCCUUGAUCCUGGGGAUUUUGUGCAGUGCUGCUUUGAGUCAUGUACAGAACACAGCUAUAGGAACUACUCAGCAGACACACGUACCUCAAUCGUGUUUGAGAUGCUAUGAGAUGUCAUGGAGUGAAGGAUUUGGGAAAGAGAUGCUUUUCAUUUGUUUAAUAAUGAAAUCAUGCAGUCCGGGAUGCUUUAUUGUUUCUGCUCUAUGUCCAAGUGUUAGAAUGGUGAUUUUGUGUAACUUAUUUCCCACCUAGAAAUGAAAUGAUAUGUUUAAAAUAGUAACAUGGCUAUAUUUCUUGUAGGAGAGAAUAUUCGAUUCCAGAAUAUAGUUAGGAUCCUGAUUAUGAACAAUGUGUUGUAUUUAGAAACAGAGCCCUCUUUGUUUUAAGCAAACAAACAAAAGACUUGGAAGAUUCUCCAUGACUGAGCAUGACAAAAAUACCCUGUUGAAAGGAAAAAUAUAUCUUGGGCCAGUUGCUCAAAAAAGCCUGUUGCUCAAAAAUGCAUAUUCUGCCAGUAAAAUAUGCUGUAACUUUAGAAAGAAAAUGAGAUGAAGACCCCGGAGAGACUCCAGAAGACUAAUGAUAACAGAUAAGUUUUCAUAGUCUUUUAUUUUUGGUGAAAAUUAUUAAGAGGAUAUGGUUUGUAAUUUUUCCAAUGAUACACAUGUGUUGAAGCAUAAAGAUACUAUGUCUAUAUCUCUAACAGGAGAAAAGGUAUGAUAUUGCCCUUGUAACUAUCUUCCCUGAGGCAGCUCAUAAAGUACACCCAUGUAUUUCAUUACUUUAUUAUAAUCGUUGUAUUAUUCUUUAGAACAUGUGUUGCUCCUUGAAUACUUCUUUUUGUAUGUAUUUUAGAUCUUGAGAAUUUUUUCUAAAGAUUUAUUUAUUUGAGAGUGAGAGAGCAUGCACACACAGGGGAGGAGCAGAGAGAAACUCAAGCAGACUCCGCGCUGAGGGAGCCCAACAUGGGGCUUGAUCCCAGGAUCCUGAGAUCACGCCCCAAGCCAAAACCAAGAGUUGGAGGCUUAACCCCUGUGCCACCCAGGCACCCCUAGUUCCUGAGAAUUUUUAAGAAAAAGCCAUUGCAUUUGCACGGGGUGGGGCAAAUUGUGGGCAGUCCAUAUAGUACACCAAGCUUUGUCCAUUUUUCAGAAACUAUGCUGGGUUCUGCGGAAUCCGAAGUUAAAGGCAUGUACUCCUCCCUCACUGAAUUGGUAGGGGGCAAAGACAAGUGAAGUGACGUCCGUGGUUGGCCAUAGCAGGCACGCUGUGGCCAGAGCUCUAUGGGCCACAGAAGAGCCUGCCAUCCAGACUAGGGACAGGCGUGGUCAGGAGACGCUUUCCCAGAGUAGGUGGCAUCUGAGCUGUAUGUUGAAGAAUGUGUGGAAAUGAGCCAAAGAAAAGGAGAAAGGCAUUCCAAGCAUAAGCCAAGAGAAGGAGCAGACCCAGAGACUGGAAAAUGAAAUCUGUUGAUCAGUGCUGUCCAGAACUAUCUGCAGUGAUGGAAAAGUUCUAUAUCUGUGCUGUCCAAAAUGGUAGCCACAAGCUACACGUGGUUAUCAAGCAAGUGAAGAACGAAAUUUUAAUUUUAUUUCUUUUUUUAAAUUUAAAAUUAAAUAGCCACAUGUGACUAGUGGCUACUGUAUCUUUUUUUAAUUUAAUUUUAUUAUGUUAUAUUAAUCACCAUACAGUACAUCAUUAGUUUUUGAUGUAGUGUUCCAUGAUUCAUUGUUUGCGUAUAACACCCAGUGCUCCAUUCAAUACAUGCCCUCUUUAAUACCCCUUUAUUGAAGUAUGAUUUGAUGUGAUUUGAUGUGGGGUCUGGGAGUGAAUGGUCAAGAAAGAAUUCGUGAGGCAUCUUCAGUGCAAAAAAACGUGGUUUUAUUAAAGCAUAGGGAUAGAACCCAUGGGCAGAAAGACCUACACUGACUGGGGUUUUAAGGAGCUACUGGUUUUAUACUUUUAAGUUGUGGGGGGUGGGUAGAGACAAAGAAGUUUCCAAAAACUGAUUUCCAUAUGUUAAAGAAGACUUACAGGAUGCUGGAGGUCUGGCUAUUGUCAAGCCAAGGUUGCUUUUUGCCUUUAGCAAAGCAUUAACACUAAGACAGUUGGGAGUUCCUGGAGGAACGUCAUACUCUGCCUGUCCCAAGUAUCUGUCAAUGGGCUGCAAGUUGUAAGGAAAUUUAAUUUUGUCUAUAUCUCCUUUUGCCUUUGUUCUCCACAUCAUGAUUGACAUAUAAAAAACUGUGAAGAAUCGAUAUAUUCAACUUGAUGAGUUUGAAGAUAAGUAUACACCUGGGAAAUCAUCACCUCCAAAGCUUUGCUCCUGCCCUCUUUAUUUAUUAUUAUUCUGUGUGUGUGUGUGAUAAGAACAGUUAACAAAAGAGCCACUCUGGCUACUGUAUUAAACAGCAUAGCAGCAGGUGAGGUCCGCUGCUAGAUCCUCGUUUUUUCUGGUAAGUUUUAUUUUCAUUCUAAAGGUGGAAAGGAGGGCGCCUGGGUGGCUCAGUCUGUUAAGCAUCUGCUUUCAGCUCAGGUCAUGAUCCUAGGGUCCUGGGAUUGAGUCCCGUUUCCAGUUCCCUGCUCUGUGGGGGGCCUGCUUCUCUCUCCCUCUGCCUGUUUCUCCCCCUGCUUGUGCUCUGUGUGUGUGUCAAAUAAAGAAAUAAAAUAUUAAAAAAAAUAAAUAGAUAAAGGUGGAAAGGAGUCGCUGCAAAAUUUCAAAACAGAGUAAUUCCAUGAGUUCUCUUAGAAAAAAAAAAAGAUUACUUGUAAAUUAAGCAAACUAAUUUGGCCAGUUUUUAGCAUGGGUUCAUUUCCAUGAACUUCCCAGAGAAAGUGACAAAAAGGAAGCAUGUAAAACAAACAUUGCCAUAAAAUUCAACUUUGGAAAUUGUCUGACUGUAGAAAAGACCAAUUAGCUACCUACAAACCAAUCAGUAAAAGAUAACCCUCACAGAAGGAAAUUGAGUAGAUGGCAUGAAUGGACCAUUCCCCAGAGCCCGCAUACAAAUAGCCAAUUAAAUGCAUAAAACAGUGUUCACCUCACUAGUAUUCAAAGUCCUUUCAGUGAAAAUGAGAUUCCCAUUUUCAACAACCAAAUUAGUAAAAGACCAUAUGCUGUUGAAGAUGGGAGUCACUCUCUUUUUAAAUUUUUUUAUUGUUAUGUUAAUCCCCAUACCUUACAUCAUUAGUUUUAGAUGUAGUGUUCCAUGAUUCAUUGUUUGUGCAUAACACCCAGUGCUCCAUGCAGAACGUGCCCUCUUUAAUACCCAUCACCAGGCUAACCCAUCCUCCCACCCCCCUCCCCUCUAGAACCCUCAGUUUGUUUCAGAGUCCAUCGUCUCUCAUGGUUCAUCUACCCCUCCAAUUUCCCCCCCUUCAUUUAAGAGAAUGAAAGUAUAUACAUCCUUACAUUCUGGAGGCCAGUUUGGCAGUAUUUUUAGCAAAAGACUUGAAAAUGUUUAAUCCCUGUCAGCCGGCUAUUCUGUUUCUGGGACUUUGCCAUAAAGAAGUGAUUAGGGGGCGCCUGGGUGGCUCAGUUGGUUAAGCGUUUGUCUUCGGUUCAGGUCAUGAUCCCAGGGUCCUGGGAUCAAGUUCCACAUCCGGCUCAGCAAGGAGUCUGCUUGUCCCUCUCCCUCUGCCCCUCUCCUUGCUCAUUCUCUUUCUCUCUCAAAUAAAUAAAUAAAAUCUUUAAAAAAAAAAAAAAAAGAAGAAGUGAUUAGGGAUUCUUGAAAAGAUUUAUGCACAAUGCUAUCCAAGUCUGGGUUACAUACAACAGUGAAAAAAAUGACAACAAUCUAAUUGAGGUUCUCAGUAGAUUUAUUAAAUAAAUUACAACUAACAACUGAGAACCACAUAGACAUUAAAUGUCCUGUUGCAUAUGAAUACUUAACUACAUGGGCAAAAUGUUUGGGAUCUAUUUUUUAGUGGAAAAAAAAAAAUCAAAUCCCUAUGAGAAUGUAAGCUUUCAGUUGAAUAGUAAAAAAUUGUAUGAGUAGAAAAAAGUACUGAAGGAUAUUCACCAAAAUAUUAAUGGUAUUUAUAACUUAGUUGAUUUUUAUUUUCUUCUUUGUUUCUCUGUAUUUUAUACUUUUCUACAAUGAAAUUCUGUGGCUUUUAAAAUAGAAAAACUUUUUUUUUUAAUUGAGGUUGUUAAUUAUGUAGGUAGUGUUCAAUUAUAACAGAAGUAACUUAAAGUAUGUAAUUGCCACACUUCUGUUAUACUAGAUGGAAUCAUUAAAUUGGUGGAAGGCAUUUACCAGUCUAGACGUGUGGACCACAGAGCUUUUAAGGAGGCAAAAUGACUUUGGAGUCCUUUCCAGAAACUCUCCUCUGCUAUUGGGAGCAGCAGAAGUGCUUUAAUUAAUCAGGAUAAAAUGUUUCAACCAGAGAUAAUUAUGUAUAUGAAGAUGAUUUUGCAGCCAGAUAUGUGGAUGGUUUAUGUAAAUAGAAGACAUUUUCCCCCUGUUAAGUUCUUCCCAAUAUUUUAACCCUGAUGUAUCUGGAAAAGAAGAGGACAGUGGCAAGGAAAGCUUCUACCAGAGACUAAACAACCAGAAACUUCAGCUAAUCAGAAAUUCUUCUGCCUUUGACGUUUAGGAGAGAAUGAAAAAUCUCUAGAAAGUGACUGUGAAUUAAGAAUUUCUGACAACCAACUUUCAGGAUAUUUCUCAAGGUUUUGACAAUUCAGACUAGUCUCCAGACUUUCUACAUCAGUAUCUGUCAUUAUAUCUGAUGAAAAUAAUUCCUAAUGGUGAAUUUGAAAUUCCAGAAGGAUUUUUAUUAUCAACUGAAACAGAUUAAAUUAUGUUCUUUAUACUCUACUUACUACACAGAAGGAAGAAAGGAAGGGAGGGAGGAAGGGAAAAAGGGAGGCUGACUAGGUAUAUAGACUGGGAAUACUGGACCCCAUCCAAGGCUCGCAGGUCAGCAUCCGAGAUCUGGCUUCCAAGGGCCUGGCACAUCUCUGUGUAGUCUGGACAAAUGUCUAGUAUCCUACUCUGCCUGGUAAUUCCCUGGAGGUGUAAGUGUCCUGCCACCUCCCUUCUCCUCUAGCUCAUCUUGGAGGCUCAUAGAUUUCUCCAUGGAUAAGGGUGAUGGCUGUGCAUCAGAGGUGAACUUCAUCACUGAGGGCUAGGUGGGAGGUGGGGGAGGUCCAGAAAUGGCAGGGGGACCUGGUGGUUCUGUCCUUGGGAAGGGGAUUGGGUUUUGCUAUUUGCGUAUUUAUACUGUAUCAAGGGCACCACACUUCUCCUUAUUGUCUGUGUAUAUAUUAAUUAUCUUGUCUAUGAUAUUUUCCCAUGCCAGGGUUUAUUUAUAUUUUUUCAAUGUUAAUUAAAUUGAUUUGGGGGGCACCUGGGUGGCUCAGUCGGUUAAGCGUCUGACUCUUGAUUUCAGCUCAGGUCAUGAUCCCAGGGUUGUGAGAUUGAGCCCUGAAUUGGGCUCUGCGCUGGGCAUGGAGCCUGCUUAAGAUUCUCUCUUUCCCUCUCCCUCUGCCCCUCUCCCCCUGCCACGUGUGCGCUCUCUCUCUCUAAAAAAAAAAAAAAAAAAAAAGGCUGAUAAGGCUGAUGACAUGCCAUUCUUUAAAAAAUAAAUUGAUUUGGGUAAUUUUUCUUAAAAAAAAAAAAGGCAUUUCAUGUCUUUCCCAUUCCUCCUCUCCUAUGAGUCAAGCCUCAUACUUACUGUCACAGCAGGAGCCAUUCUCUGCUCCUGAAUCUCCCUCGAUGCUCUCCUGGGAUUCGCAGAUGAACUGUCUAGGCAACUCUACUCACACAUUUCACUUCCAGUUGUGUUUAGUGACAGGACUGAUUUCUGUUUUGACAUUUGGAAACUUCAUUAAUUAGCAAUGACUUCUUCAUCUCCUCUGGUUCUGGCAGAUCCUUAGAGGAAGAGAAAGCCAUCUUCUAUUUUUAAGGUUACCUUGGGUGGGUAAUGGGGUUUGGGCCUAGAAGAAGAGAUGGAGGUUAGUCAAUGACAGGCAACGGCAACUAGAGGUCCCAGAAGACUAUUCUGACGGUCACUAUUAUGUGACCACACCAGUGUGGGGCAGGACUGGGUAUUUUGUAGGUCUCAGUAUGAAAGGGAAAAGAAGGACAGUAUGAGAGGCCUGUAAAUAAACAGAUCUACGUAUAUUAUUUUUACGUGUAUUUUAAACAGAUGCUGAGACAGAGGCAGUGUAAAUGAAUGAGCGAUUUCACGAUUUUGAGAGCUCAACUUAGUAAGUCUAAUCCUGCCGCAAGGGGGCAGCAGGACUCAUCUGUUGCCCCCUCCCCCUUGUUCUGCGGCUAUAAUUAGAUUCCUUGGAGAAUUCAAAUGUACAGUGUAUAAUAUUAAUUUAAGCUCCACAAAAGCCAAACUUGCCUGUAUCCCCAAGGCCUAGUGCUUAGCACACAGUUGAUAUUCAAUAAUUAUUUGUUGAAUGGGGUGAAUGAGUGAAUGUGAAUAAUUUAUGUGGUCACUCCUACCUUUUAUUGUUUCCAUAGUUGCUCACCUAUGACAUUGUUUCCAAAUCAUACCAUUGAUCUCUGCCUUUGUCUGAGAAAAUGACUAGUAUGUCCUCUUGGAUGAAUAAUGUAGCCUUAGAGCACUUCACCUGAAGGCAGUCCUGUUAAGCCGGCUGCCUGAUGGAUCCUCCUGCUUCUGCGCAGCGCCCUCUGUCUGUAGGGAAGGCAGGUGCAGUUCUGUGAGGUUCUCGGAGCCCAGUCCCAGGCGGAGCAUCUCAGUCAGGCAAAGUGAGGGCAAGGGAGCUGGGGGUGCUUCGGCCCCAGAUUCCUUUCUGAAAGUGAGGAAAAGCAAGCUCUGCAAGGAGGAAGGCAAACCUCCACGUGGAGGCUAAGGAGCUUCACCACCUCCUCAGCCUCUUAAAUGAGGUGCAUUCUAGUAUGGUGUACCCUCUCCCCUCACUCCUGGACCCCAAAUAAAGGACACGCAGCAUGAUCUCAUUCUUUCUUCUCCGGAAUAAGGUAAACCCAAGUGUGACCUCAUCCCGUGACUCUCAAGUAAAGAAAGCUCAUCAAUGAGUUCAACUCCUUCUCCCUAAAAUGUCAAGCUCAAGCAUGCAUGACCUCCCCUCAAAUCCAGCAGGAUCAGGCAUGAUGUCACUCCCACCCCCAUGCCUCUCUUCCACCCUCCUGGUGGCUGACACAUUUCCACCCCGAAGGCUUCUUAGAAAUGGCUCUGCCCAGAGGUGUGGGCGUCUGGCUGGAGGCUGCUUCCUGCCAGCCACAGGGAAAGCCCACCCGUCUGAAAAGCAGCUUCCAGUCAGUGAGGAGUCACAUCACCAUGACUCAGCGUGCUGUGGCAGAUGAGAAUUUUACUCAAGGUUCAACAUUAAAUAAGGAGCUUUUAGGCAAGUCUGGAGGGCAAGCAGAGCCAACUUAGGAUGAGAAACUCAAAAGCAAAAGGGGAAAUCCAGGGCUGGGAAAUUCCUAGAAAAGAAAUCAAAACCUUGGCCUGGAGGAGAAAGUUGCUUGAAUCGACAGGGCUACUAAGCGGGGAUGGCCUCAGCUGCAGCUCAUGGGCAUGCCAGCACUCAGGAACCCGGCCAUCUGUCUGCGAUCCCUGUGUGUCCUUCUGACCCCCUGUGCAGGCACCGGGCCCCCCAUUUAUGAGGGACAGUGGCAGGCCCCCGACAGACAGGGCAGCCCAGGUGUGCAUGGGGGGACUCAGCAUCUAGUGAGUAACAUUAUUUGAAUCUGUAGACCAGAUUUCAUUCCUAAGAAAGAAGCAAGACAGGGAGGGAGUAAAUAAAAAGUCUAGCAGGAUGUGGAUAGUCAGGGAGGCUGUGGAGGGGGGGGGGACGGGGGUGUAUGGGUGUAUGGGAACUCUCUGCACUUUCUGCUCGGUUUUGCUGUGAAUCUAAAACUGCUCUAAAAAGUAAAAUCCACUUUUUAAAAAAGAUUUUUAUUUAUUUAUUUGAGAGAUUGAGACAGACAGCACGAGCCAGGAGGAGAGGGAGAAGCAGGCUCCCCACCGAGCAGGGAGCCCGAUGUGAGGCCCCAUCCCAGGACCCCGGGACCACGACCCAAGCAAAAGGCAGACACUUAACCGACUGAGCCACCCAGGCGCCCCCAAAAUCCACUUUUAAAAAUUGGCUGCGAUUUCUUUUUUAAGUCUAUUCUAUGGCCACAGAACCCUGCCUAGCAUCAUGCAGAGGUUGAUCUUCACUCAAGAGGGAGACCGGGUCAGCAGGCCAACUAAGCCAUUCUGACUAUAGGAACCAUAGGAAAUGUAACUGUUCCUCUAUCUCACACCUUUGGCAUAUCCCUAACCCUCAUGUUACAAUUCCUCAACUGUGUACAAUUGCUUUGCAUUCUGCAGCUAGGAAGAAAGCGAUAACAAAUACUUCUGGGAGAGAUAGACUCUAACCUAUGAAUAACUAAGAGAUCUAUUUUUGCAAAAAAGUUUUUAUAUGCUAAGCCUCAGUUUCUUCACCUGUAAAAUGAAGAUAACAAUAUUACAUGUCCUAUAGAGAUGUCCUACGGAUCACUCUUCAGGAAAUCUUCACCACUCACCCUAUUUAAAAGAGCCACACUCCCCUCCUGGGCCCUCACCAAUACUACCUAGCACCCUUCCUCCCUUGAUUUUUCUACAGAGCAUUUACCAUCUUCUCCCUAUCCAAUAUUUUACUUUUAAAAUUCUCUUUAUCUCCCUCGAGAAUGUAAAUUCCAUGAGGGUAGGGAUUUUUGUCUGUUUUAUUCUGUAUCCCCAGCACCGGGAGCAUUUUCUAACAUAUUAUAGUCCCCAGGAAAUAUUUAUUGGAUGAAUGAUUUCUGUAAAGUGCUCGGCAAAAUGGUUAUACAUGCCAAGUGUGUAAUACAUGUUGGUUAUGAUUAUUUGCAUUAUUCCAUGCUGCAAGGUUCUAAGAGUAAAGAAUGAAGAAGUUCCUGAGAGGAAAGAAAGGGAUGCAGACAAGAGAGAAUUAGUGAGGACCCAGGAACACAACAACGCGUGUGGCAUCAUGUUGCUGCUGUGGGUUGGGCCUACAGAUGUGGAUAUGUGAGUCACUCCAUGCCAGGCCCCCUAAAUAACUUGCAGUGCCACUAUAUAAGGAUGGUUCAUCAUGUCUCCAUCAGAGAGCCCCUCAAACAAUGGAUCACCAUGAAGAGGAGAAUCCACUAUACAGAAUAUGUAUGGGCCAGAGUCCUAGCCUUCUGCUACUUUCCACUGGAAUUGAAUCAUUCCAGGAUCAACAAAACUGUGGCCAUAAUUUCCUCCCAACAAUCCUUCAAAGAGCAUUGACUCUUGGUUAGCUCAAAGGGUCAAGGAGGCCAAAGCCAUGGUUUGAUCAUGUGGCCAUCAGUAUUGCAUUGUUCCAUGACAAAUCCUACCCCUCCUCUUUUCUAGCUGGCUGUACUUCAUAGGCUCCCAUUGGUCAUAUAGGACACCAGACAAGAAGCUAGGAAAGAUCACCGACUGUGGUACCUAUUGCCCAAAGUUGUGGUCUGAAGGAUCAAAGGACGGAUAAAGUCACAUCUUAAAGAGGGGCCAACAUUAAGACCCGGAAAAAGAGGACCAAAUAAGUUUGUCAAUCGCAGAAGCAAGAAGGAGAAUAAAAGAUACUGAGCCAUACAAGAAGAUACCCAGGAUGCUGAUGGAUGAGGAAUAUAGAGUAGGUGGAUCGGAGAGGAGAAAUUUGGACACAGAGACAGACACACCAUAGGAAGAAUGCCAUAUGAACAUGAGAGCAGAGAUGGGGUGAGCCUCUGUGAGCCAAUGAACAGCAAAGAUUGGAAGGAAACCCCCAGAAGCUAGAGAGAGCAUAGAACAGAUUCUUCCUCCCAGGCUUCAGAAGGACGCAAUCUUGCUGACACCUUGAUCUUGGACUUCUAGCCUCUGGAACUGUGAGACAACAUGUUUCUGUUGUUCUACAGAGACGGAGUCCACGCAGAUGUCAAUGAGAGAUACCAUCCCCCAAAGAGCAGCUGGGCCUGUUUCUGCAGAGAGCAAGCACUGAAAGAAGUGAGCCCCUGUGAACACAGAGCUCUGCAAUUAGUAGAAGAAGCUUGCCACAAGGAAGGAUCGAGUAGUGUAACUAGGAAACUAGGGCUCUCCUGUGCAUACCAAAAAAGAUCCCCUCUUCCUCUGGCAAAUCUCGGGAGAAAGUCGGGCCAGCCUGAGAGGAGCCCACAGGCCCUGGAGAUGCUCUCACAGGAAGGAGUGCCUGGGGGACAUGGGACCAGAUGACCACAUCAGUUACAGUUUACGUUUAGAAGGAACCAUUCCAGUGUCACAUGGCAGAAGACGUAAGAGGAUGGGUCACAGUUGAUGGGAGCUGAUUGGUGCUGAAGCAGACUCCAGUUCAUUUCCGUUCACCUCAUUGUUUGCGUUCUGGGCUGAAGCCAAGCAACAAACAUGAACAUUCCCCCUGCGGGGCAGGCGCACACAGACACUUGGAGGCACGCUUACACGUGCCGCACUCUCCCAGGCAGGCACACAUGUUUACACGAGCGCGCGUCCUCACCCGGACACACUCGCACACAGGCGCUCACCCAUGCAGACACUGCCUACUUGCCUACACGCACUCCUGCACACGGGCACACACAGCUGCUCCAGCUGCGGUCAGCUGUGCAAGGUCUCUGCCUUCCGUGACUGGGCGUCUAGGAGAACUUCAAACCUGAGAGUUCCUCCUCUCGCCCUCCUGUUCCCCUGGCCACCUGGACACCGACGCUUGCCAUCUGUAAUCCAUCACUACAGGUCUUACGCCCCGUUUCCAGCCAUUGUCAAUCGAGUGGGAGACCUUCCAACCUUCUGUCUCAAUGAAAGUCAACUGUUGUCAACCCAAGCUCCCAUGAAGCUCCAGGGACUAGCCUGACUUGGAUUUUAAACAGUCCUGCUGCCCGCCCUGCCUGGGAAUCAGGCUGGGCUCUAGACGAGGUGGGGAAGCCCUCUAGUGGCCAAGGCUGAAGUGACAAUAGGCGUGGAGGGCUCUGGGAUGCCGCAGGAACCAGUCCACUCUUCCUGAAACCACAGUCCCUAAAAUCUUUACCGCCUAAAUCCUCCCUCUCCACCACCCCCAGAUCCUUCUAGUCACCAGGUCCUAUCAAUUUCCCUCCCAAACAGCUGUCCCUGUUGCCCACCCUAGCUCUGCCUUGUCACCCAUGCGUCGUAGGGCUGCAGUGGACCGUUGCCUGGACCUCUGUGACUGAUCCAUUACGGACCUCGCUGCCAAAUUCAUCUCCCAGACCCUCACUGUUGGUCUUCUAUGUUCUCUGUUUAAGAAUUCCAGACUUCCCCCCUGGUCUCUAGCGGUGAUCCUCAAAAGGGAGACACACUGUCUCAGGACAGGUUGAGCAGCAUUUCCACACACAGUCUAGAGAUGUUGAUGUUCCUCCCCACACCAUGCUCAUGUUGGACCACUUCUAUCGAGGUGUCGUUCCUGCCCUAUUACUCAAAUGUAGAGGGCUGAGGAAAAGAUGGAGAACCACAAGUCCUCGGGGCAAAAGUUCAAACAUCUCAGCCCCCCACAGCCUGGCCUUAAAUUUCUUUUCCAGGUUUAGUGUUACAGUGUAACACUAAGGUUAAGGACUAGAAUCAGUCUGGCUUAGAACCCCAGGUGUACAAGUUAUUAGCUCUGUAAUGGUAUGGAAGGUUCUAGAUCCUUAGUUUCUUUAUAGGGUUCUUGAGAUGUUAAUGAGGUAGCCUGUGUAUGAGACUUAGCCCAGUGCUUGCCCCACGGUCAGUGCUCACUUAAGGACAGCUGUAAUUAGUACUCCUCUGUCUAUAAGCCGACUGGUUUGCUCACAGGUCAGGCAUGUCCUUGCACUUUCCAUCUCUGCACUUCGGCUCUUGACGCUUUAUUUGCCUGGACUGUCUCCUCACUCCUCUCUAAUGUCAAGACCUCACCUGUUCUGCUGUGCCCAGCUCAAAUUUCUUCACCUGCUUAGGGACCUGAGCUAAUCCUGGACUUACGGACCUCAUACAUUAUCUCUUGUGAGAGGGAACAAAUACUUUGUGAGAGUGCACCGUAUAAACUUAUGCAAGUAUGUAAUAGACAAAUAUGUGGGAUAUUUAAUUGUACAAUCAUUCUAAAAAAUUAGAUAAAGCCUUAUAAUGUGUU